UUUAUGGAGAGUUUGAUCCUGGCUCAGGAUGAACGCUGGCGGCGUGCCUAAUACAUGCAAGUCGAGCGAACGGACGAGAAGCUUGCUUCUCUGAUGUUAGCGGCGGACGGGUGAGUAACACGUGGAUAACCUACCUAUAAGACUGGGAUAACUUCGGGAAACCGGAGCUAAUACCGGAUAAUAUUUUGAACCGCAUGGUUCAAAAGUGAAAG
rnacentral:rRNA from 1 species